rnacentral:tRNA from 1 species
GGUUUGAUGGUGUAGUUGGUUAUCACGUCAGUCUAACAUCUACGGAUGGUUCACUGAAGGUCGGGAGAUCGAGCCUCCCUCGAAUCA